rnacentral:rRNA from 1 species
CCUACGGGUGGCAGCAGUGAGGAAUAUUGGUCAAUGGGCGCGAGCCUGAACCAGCCAAGUCGCGUGAGGGAGGACGGCCCUACGGGUUGUAAACCUCUUUUGCCGGGGAGCAACGGGCGCCACGUGUGGCGCCACUGAGAGUACCCGGAGAAAAAGCAUCGGCUAACUCCGUGCCAGCAGCCGCGGUAAUACGGAGGAUGCGAGCGUUAAUCGGAAUUACUGGGCGUAAAGGGUGUGCAGGCGGUUUUGCAAGAUGGAUGUGAAAGCCCCGGGCUUAACCUGGGAAAGCCAUACAUGACUGGAAGACUAGAGUGCGUCAGAGGGGGGUGGAAUUCCAAGGGUAGCAGUGAAAUGCGUAGAUAUUUGGAAGAACACCGAUGGCGAAGGCAGCCCCCUGGGACGCAACUGACGCUCAUACACGAAAGCGUGGGGAGCAAACAGGAUUAGAUACCCUUGUAGUC